rnacentral:rRNA from 1 species
UGGGGAAUUUUGGACAAUGGGGGAAACCCUGAUCCAGCCAUCCCGCGUGUGCGAUGAAGGCCUUCGGGUUGUAAAGCACUUUUGGCAGGAAAGAAACGUCAUGGGUUAAUACCCCGUGAAACUGACGGUACCUGCAGAAUAAGCACCGGCUAACUACGUGCCAGCAGCCGCGGUAAUACGUAGGGUGCAAGCGUUAAUCGGAAUUACUGGGCGUAAAGCGUGCGCAGGCGGUUCGGAAAGAAAGAUGUGAAAUCCCAAAGCUCAACUUUGGAACUGCAUUUUUAACUGCCGGGCUAGAGUGUGUCGGAGGGGGGUGGAAUUCCGCGUGUAGCAGUGAAAUGCGUAUAUAUGCGGAGGAACACCGAUGGCGAAGGCAGCCUCCUGAGAUAACACUGACGCUCAUGCACGAAAGCGUGGGGAGCAAACAGG